UACGGAGGUGCAAGCGUUAUCCGGAUUCACUGGGUUUAAAGGGUGCGUAGGUGGGCAGGUAAGUCAGUGGUGAAAUCCUGUAGCUUAACUACAGAACUGCCAUUGAUACUAUCUGUCUUGAAUACCCUGGAGGUGAGCGGAAUAUGUCAUGUAGCGGUGAAAUGCUUAGAUAUGACAUAGAACACCCAUUGCGAAGGCAGCUCACUACGGGAAUAUUGACGCUGAGGCACGAAAGCGUGGGUAGCAAACAGG
rnacentral:rRNA from 1 species